GGAGGAAAAGAAACCAACAGGGAUUGCCUCAGUAACGGCGAGUGAAGCGGCAAAAGCUCAAAUUUUAAAGCUGGCAUCUUCGGUGUCCGCGUUGUAAUUUUGUGAGGCAUCUCCGGGUAGGGCGCCAGCCUAAGUUCCUUGGAACAGGACGUCACAGAGGGUGAGAAUCCCGUGCUUGGCUGGCUGUCCCCGCCCACGUGAGGCGUCUUCGACGAGUCGAGUUGUUUGGGAAUGCAGCUCAAAAUGGGUGGUAAAUUUCAUCUAAAGCUAAAUAUUGGUGGGAGACCGAUAGCGCACAAGUAGAGUGAUCGAAAGAUGAAAAGCACUUUGAAAAUAGAGUUAAAAAGUACGUGAAAUUGUUGAAAGGGAAGCGCUUGAGACCAGACUUCGGUAGGGGGUGAUCAGCCGUCCUUCUGGGCGGUGCACUUGCCCCCCUCCGGGCCAGCAUCGGUUGAGGCGGCGGGAUAAAGGUCCCGGGAACGUGGCUCCUUCACGGGAGUGUUAUAGCCCGGGUGAAUGCCGCCAGCCUCGACCGAGGACCGCGCCCGCAAGGGUUAGGAUGCUUGGCAUAAUGGUCUUCAGCGACCC
rnacentral:rRNA from 1 species